rnacentral:rRNA from 1 species
AGUGAACGCUGGCGGUAGGCCUAGCACAUGCAAGUCGAACGGCAGCACAGUAAGAGCUUGCUCUUACGGGUGGCGAGUGGCGGACGGGUGAGGAAUACAUCGGAAUCUACUUUUUCGUGGGGGGUAACGUAGGGAAACUUACGCUAAUACCGCAUACGACCUACGGGUGAAAGCAGGGGAUCUUCGGACCUUGCGCGAUUGAAUGAGCCGAUGUCGGAUUAGCUAGUUGGCGGGGUAAAGGCCCACCAAGGCGACGAUCCGUAGCUGGUCUGAGAGGAUGAUCAGCCACACUGGAACUGAGACACGGUCCAGACUCCUACGGGAGGCAGCAGUGGGGAAUAUUGGACAAUGGGCGCAAGCCUGAUCCAGCCAUACCGCGUGGGUGAAGAAGGCCUUCGGGUUGUAAAGCCCUUUUGUUGGGAAAGAAAAGCAGCAGGUUAAUACCCCGCUGUUCUGACGGUACCCAAAGAAUAAGCACCGGCUAACUUCGUG